CCUACGGGAGGCAGCAGUGGGGAAUUUUGGACAAUGGGCGCAAGCCUGAUCCAGCCAUGCCGCGUGAGUGAAGAAGGCCUUCGGGUUGUAAAGCUCUUUCGGCCGGGAAGAAAUCGCAUUGGUUAAUACCUGGUGUGGAUGACGGUACCGGAAUAAGAAGCACCGGCUAACUACGUGCCAGCAGCCGCGGUAAUACGUAGGGUGCGAGCGUUAAUCGGAAUUACUGGGCGUAAAGCGUGCGCAGGCGGUUUUGUAAGACAGGCGUGAAAUCCCCGGGCUCAACCUGGGAACUGCGCUUGUGACUGCAAGGCUAGAGUACGGCAGAGGGGGGUGGAAUUCCACGUGUAGCAGUGAAAUGCGUAGAGAUGUGGAGGAACACCAAUGGCGAAGGCAGCCCCCUGGGUCGAUACUGACGCUCAUGCACGAAAGCGUGGGUAGCAAACAGGAUUAGAUACCCUGGUAGUCCACGCCCUAAACGAUGUCAACUAGGUGUUGGGAGGGUAAAACCUUUUAGUACCGGAGCUAACGCGUGAAGUUGACCGCCUGGGGAGUACGGCCGCAAGGUUAAAACUCAAAGGAAUUGACGGGGACCCGCACAAGCGGUGGAUGAUGUGGAUUAAUUCGAUGCAACGCGAAAAACCUUACCUACCCUUGACAUGUCAGGAAGUCUUGAGAGAUUGAGAUGUGCCCGAAAGGGAACCUGAACACAGGUGCUGCAUGGCUGUCGUCAGCUCGUGUCGUGAGAUGUUGGGUUAAGUCCCGCAACGAGCGCAACCCUUGUCGUUAAUUGCCAUCAUUUAGUUGGGCACUUUAGCGAGACUGCCGGUGACAAACCGGAGGAAGGUGGGGAUGACGUCAAGUCCUCAUGGCCCUUAUGGGUAGGGCUUCACACGUCAUACAAUGGUCGGUACAAAGGGUCGCCAACCCGCGAGGGGGAGCCAAUCCCAGAAAGCCGAUCGUAGUCCGGAUUGCAGGCUGCAACUCGCCUGCAUGAAGUCGGAAUCGCUAGUAAUCGUGGAUCAGCAUGUCACGGUGAAUACGUUCCCGGGCCUUGUACACACCGCC
rnacentral:rRNA from 1 species